rnacentral:rRNA from 1 species
UGGGGAAUUUUGGACAAUGGGCGAAAGCCUGAUCCAGCAAUGCCGCGUGUGUGAAGAAGGCCUUCGGGUUGUAAAGCACUUUUGUCCGGAAAGAAAUCCUUGGCUCUAAUACAGUCGGGGGGAUGACGGUACCGGAAGAAUAAGCACCGGCUAACUACGUGCCAGCAGCCGCGGUAAUACGUAGGGUGCAAGCGUUAAUCGGAAUUACUGGGCGUAAAGCGUGCGCAGGCGGUUUGCUAAGACCGAUGUGAAAUCCCCGGGCUCAACCUGGGAACUGCAUUGGUGACUGGCAGGCUAGAGUAUGGCAGAGGGGGGUAGAAUUCCACGUGUAGCAGUGAAAUGCGUAGAGAUGUGGAGGAAUACCGAUGGCGAAGGCAGCCCCCUGGGCCAAUACUGACGCUCAUGCACGAAAGCGUGGGGAGCAAACAGGAUUAGAUACCCUGGUAGUCCACGCCCUAAACGAUGUCAACUAGUUGUUGGGGAUUCAUUUCCUUAGUAACGUAGCUAACGCGUGAAGUUGACCGCCUGGGGAGUACGGUCGCAAGAUUAAAACUUAAAUGAAUUGACGGGGU